CCUACGGGUGGCAGCAGUGAGGAAUAUUGGUCAAUGGGCGCGACCCUGAACCAGCCAAGUCGCGUGAGGGAAGACGGUCCUAUGUAUGGUAAACCUCUUUUGUCGGGGAGCAAAAGACGCCACGCGUGGCGUUCCGAGAGUACCCGAAGAAAAAGCAUCGGCUGACUACGUGCAGGCAGCCGCGGUAAUACGGAGGAUGCGAGCGUUAUCCGAGUUUAUUGGGGUGAACGGGUGCGCAGGCGGAAGAUCAAGUCAGCGGUAAAAUUGAGAGGCUCAACCUCUUCGAGCCGUUGAAACUGGUGUGCUUGAGUGAGCGAGAAGUAUGCGGAAUGCGUGGUGUAGCGGUGAAAUGCAUAGAUAUCACGCAGAACUCCGAUGGCGAAGGCAGCAUACCGGCGCUCAACUGACGUUGAUGCACGAAAGUGUGGGUAUCGAACAGGAUUAGAUACCCUAGUAGUC
rnacentral:rRNA from 1 species